ensembl:lncRNA
UGUGAUAGUGCUACACUCAGUGGAAAUCACUCUUGAAGCUCUUAAUGAAAUCCAGUACUGUGGCAUUUCUCAGACUUAAGUAAUCAUGGAACCUGGGUCUCUUGUGCUCUGAGGGCCUCUGGAUGUCUGGAGCCUGGAUCUCCUCCAUACCUGCUUCAUGCCCUGGAGGACGGGGCUGUGGCCCCCCCCCCCCCCCCCCCACACCCUCUAACAGAUCAUUACAUGAAGGAACCUUUUAAAAACAAGCGCGUCCAUGCUCACAGGUGUACACACGGGUGAUCACACCCACAAACUACACCCUUUUUGGCUCCUACCUCAAAGCACACUGUGUGCUGUUGAUCUUACGUGCUGCACAAUAAUGUUUAAUAUUUAGUAUUUACUGUCAUAUUCACAUAGAUCAUCAUGAUGUUGUUUAUUAUGUUGCUCUUCUUUUUUUCUUUUUUUUGCUUGUUUUCUCUUUUUUCUUUCUCAACAGCUGAUCCAGGUGAUUGAUAUUUGUAUUUUUGUCUGUUAGUUUUGUUGGUUUUUGUUUUGUGCCCUUUAUCACUGUUCCUCUUCCCCGCUGUUUUUCUUUCCCUCUUUCUUUCUCCCCUUUUCCCCAGUCAAGUCUGUCCUGUAUUUAACAAGUGAAAAUAAGAUAAAAUAAAAUAUAAAAGGUGAAUCAAAUAGACCAAUACUGUAAGGCUGGGAUGGUCCAUUUGGUAAAGUUAACCCGUUGGGCAUCAAAAAAAGUAAUCAUGGAGCAGAGAAAAUAUUCCCGAUCAUACUUUGACUGGAAGAAGUGUGCAAACAAAAUUAAUUGAGGUUAGAAACGACAAAUGAGGCAGCAGAAACCACUGCACAAUACCUCACUGGCAAUAUUUCUUACACAGAUGAAGCAUUAUUUCUGUAACAUUAUUUAAUUCCAGAGGUUUUUAGGUUUUGGGGGUUUUUUUGCACUUGUUGACUUGUAAAAGCUUAUAUGACAUUUUUUAUUUCACCAUUCAUUAACCGCACAGAUAAGGUAUCUUUUAAAUAUGUUAAAAUGUUCUUUAAACAAACAGUAUUAUUAAAAUUCUUCAUGACUGGGCCAAGUGUCCUCUUUUUUUGGAAAUCAAAAUGUGGUCACCCUACUAUUAAAUAUUAUGCCACUAAUAGAAAUACUUUUCUUUCUUAUUGUCAUUUAAAAUGUCGAGCUUUUAAUAAAUAAUCAUCUGAAUCUUACAACCAAAGUUUUCAUCUGAUGUAAAAUGUAUAGAAAUCCAUUAUUGUAUUCAGUAAAUAUCAAGUCUAGUAUAUACUCUAGUAAGUUGUGGUAUUCUUUCCUUUGGGAAGGUACCAUCAGUGCAGUCUGCAAUUCUGUUGAAGAAAGAUGUUGAAUCUACUUAAAAUCGGUUUUGUCAAUUAAGCAUCUUGAGGCAGAGGGUGGGGGAGUGGUUCCCUAUUUUUUUCUUUUCUUUUUUUGCUGGGAGUUGGCAACCCUAUUAGUGAGGUAUAUGUAAUUAUAAAUCAGGUUGUUUUAUAUUUUUGCUAAGUACUGUUUAGAAUACCAGAAUAGGGAGGAUGGUGUAAGUUUAAGUUUAUUAUAAAGGCUUUAUGGCUUUUCCUAUUAUACCACGGUGGGCCAGUCAAUGGUCAAAAUGCCUGGGCUGAUUUUUUGUCCCAGUCCUGCCCUCCUCCAAAGACAGCGUGUAGUGGUAGAGGCCCCGUACAGAGAGAGACGGAGAGACGGAUUUAAAUGCGAGCGUGAUGUGAGCUUCUGUAGUAGCAGCUUCUUCUCUUCUCUUUUAUCUUCUCCACUCCUCAUUAUUCACCUCCCAGUGUUCAAACAGUUUGACUUAGUAAAAGAAAAACACUCCUUAUCCACCCCAUCCAUCAAACCCACCCUCUCUCUGUUUUAUCACCCCUCUCCACCUGCCCUGUGGCAUCCCUCCAUUUGUCUAGUGAGGUCAUCCCUCUGUUCCAUCUAAUCCUGCGAGGUGCUCAUCUUUCUGCCUCCCUUUAAUCCGCCUGUGGCCCCUGGCUCCAGCCACACAUACACAUGUGCAUGCUUUUGCACACAGACUUGCAGUUAUUCUUGUAUUGUAUAGUCAGA